rfam:Enterocytozoon hepatopenaei strain TH1 scaffold_00055, whole genome shotgun sequence.
GGUUUUAUGGUGUAAUGGUAGCACUUUGGACUUUGAAUCCAACAAUCAGGGUUCGAACCCCUGUAGAACCA